CAACACUGUACUGGAAGAUGGA
rnacentral:miRNA from 1 species